AUGUAGUGCAAUGGAUAGCACGUUGGACUUCUAAUCCAAAGUUCUUGGGUUCGAAUCCUACCUGAGAUG